rnacentral:lncRNA from 1 species
CCCCAGGAGCCACCCGCUGCCCAGAUCCUCACUUGGCAUUGGCUCUGUGCUGGGCUAGGGCAAUCUCGGUGGGCACCAGGAAGAGGACAUCGGUCUCAAAGUCCACCACAGUCUUCUUCUUAUUCUCCUGGGAUGGGUCCUGGGCCCAGGACUCGGUGUAGACAUCAAAGGUCGUCUUGGCGCCUCUGAGCCCCUUGGUGAUUGUGAACUCACUGACCAGCUUGUAGAAGUCCUCCCUGGGGGAAUCAAGUAGGCACUGACACUCAGCCUGUGCCAACAGGAAGG